ACAAUUUUGGGGGGACUCCAUUUUCCCUUUCUAAUAUACAACCAUCAGAUACCAAAAAAAGGGAGGACGGCCACACACACAGCAAUAUACGCUCAUUUUUUUCUCUGAUCUUCUAGAUACAAAGAUCAACCAUCAACAACACAGAAGAACCACUCUCAACGUUUCAAUUCUCAUACACACCAGCGAACCCACCAUCAAUACACCAGCCAGAUGCAAAACACACGCAGAUCGAGGGAGAGAGAUGUGAGAGAGAUAAGAUGAAAAGAGAGGAGAGUGAAACAGAAUUGAUCGGAGCAACAGAAAAAACGAAACACUCACCGUAAAUUCCCUAGAUUAGUAACCAGAACCCACCUCUAUUUCUAUAGUUACUGCUCCAGCGAUUUCUCACCGGAGAACAUCUCCGUUCGCCCAAAUUCGUUUGAAUCUGACUGUUUUAUGUCAAAAACUUGCCUGAAAUUCCAAAGUUCUGAAGGAAACAGGUACGGGUCUUCUCUGUUCGUUGUGUAUUCUAUUUUAGAUUAGCCGUAAACAAAGUGACGGGUGCAUAUCGGAGCUGGGUUUUGCUGUUGGGGUCUGAUUCGGGUUCUUCGGCGCAGAUUUUAUCUUUUUUAUCGAGUGAUACUUGAUUUUGAUCAUCAAUUGAGGUCCAAUUAUGCUCUUCACUCAUUUUAUUUUAUUAUUUUUCAUAUUCGAUGCAUUAAAUUGAAUAUUAUGCAUUGUUUGAUCUUUAUUGAUGAAUAGUAUUUGUUUGAUUCGUGGUUGGGUUCUUUGUGGAUGGUUUAAAUGCUAAUCGUGAAUAGGGAAAAUUUGGUGUUAAAAGGCAAUUUGGGACGGAAUUGAAAACUGAUAAAAAGGGUGAAUUUUGGUCAAUUUUGGUUUAUUGUUGUUUUGUUUAAUCGAAAUAAAUAGCAAGUUGGUGAAUUCAAUAGGAUAACAUUCUAGGCUGAAAUUUUAAUAGGCAAAAGUUUAGUUUGGGGUAGGCAAAUUUAUGGAUUGUUGAUUAAUGUGGAAUGUUUGUUGAACUACUCUCUUUUCUCGCAUUUGGAAGAUGUAUUCAUUUAGCCGGGGAAUGCCUCGAGGUUUCAUGUAUUUAUUCACCGAGAAUGCCCCGAUGUAUUAUAUUGGUGAAGGCGGAUCGUGAUGAAGGCCCGAGGCAUUGGGUAAAGCACGAGAGCGUAGUUAGGAUUAGCGUAAGUUAGAUAGGAUUUAUUUUUGCAUUUUUUAUUUUGGACUGUAUAAAUUGGACUGGACGUCGUGCUUUUGAUUUAUUUUUGUUUUCUUUGUUUGAUUGCUUUACAUGUUUUUGUGUGGUUUGUACAUUCAUAGUGUCAAAAUUAGUCGAUACGCUCCACCAAGCGACCGUGGUCAAACCACGAAAUUGAGGGGUGCCUAACACCUUCCCCUCGGUCAACAGAAUUUCUCAGCCGGAAUCUCUAUUCACAAACCAGUUUAAAGAGUCAAAUGGUUUUGAAAAGGAUUUUCCAAUGGUAACUUGACACAUCGGAUUAUGCCAAGUGGCGACUCUGAAUAAAAUAAUAUAAAUAGUCCUUUUUCGAAACAAAUUUUUAAUCCUUUGUCACUUAAUAAAAACCCUUUCAAACCUUAAAACGAUUCUUUUCGAAGUUAGAAAAAAGGGAUGUGACAGCUCUGGCGACUCUGCUGGGGAUUUUUCAGAAUUCAGGCUUAUUUUUGGAGUUGUAUCGGCUUAGUUUGGCACUAUAGGUGUAUAGGCAUUUGUUUGUGUUAUUUUGUGUUAUUGUUUAUCAUUGUUGAGUGCCUACGUGCUCUUUCUUUACAGUUUUUACUUUAUGUGUUAUCAUUUUAUAUUUGGCAUUAUGUGCAUGAACCGAGUCUUUCUUUCUGCAACAAGUCCAUAGUACACGUGUGUACACAACCUAUAGUUGAGUUACCCUUAUUUUAGGAGGGAGAGCCGUUGGAUUGUAUGGAGUAGGUGUCCAGCUAAAGCAAGCCACUAUCGACCAUACGCUCUCCCGAAUAGCCUUGUUGUAAAUCCCAGCGUAGGUCAGCCUUUAGGUCAUGUUUAUUUACAUCAUAUUGAGACCAGCAGGACCCACGUGGCCCUUUAUAGGAGACUCACCUCUAAAAGCAUCCCUAUGUACUAAAUGUUGCAUCUUUGAGGGUAAUAUGGUCAUUUGACAGACUGAUUUGGGGAAAUCAUGUGUUAGAAGUAAGGUGCAUAGACAAGAAAUGUUGAAAAAAAAUAAUAGAAAAGAAAAAAAGAGUGUUUCGUAAGUUUUUAGAGUUCUUUAUGACUUUUGAUUUUCUUUCACAAUCCAAAAAUUCAAAAAAAAAAAAAAAUUACCUUUCGCACUCAUUUUUCUCAAAAAGAUUUUCCUUUUAUUCCUUUACCAUGCAUUCAUAAUUCAAAAAUUUCAAAAAAGAUUUUUAUUUCAUAGUUGUUGGUGUCAUUUUUGUAUGAAGUGACAAAUUAAUAACCCAAAAAGAUUUUAUUUUCAUCGUGCAGUCAUGUCUCUCAAGUCAAGAUUUUGUUAGUUCUUUAAUCCUUAAUUGUCCAACCUGGACGAACUAUGCAUCCGUGAUUCUCCUCUCACGGGAGUGAGAUACGUAGGCAGCCUAUUGUGGGUUCGGGAAUUUUUUUUCCAAAAUCGAAAAAAAUAUUUUAUUCACUCUUCGUUUAGAGUAGGUGUUUCAUAUACAUCUUCAAGAAAAAAACUACAAAAAUAUUUUCCUUUUAUAGUUUCAAGUUUUAUUUACGUAUGAAUGCAAAAUUGAAAAUCCAAAAGAUUUUUCUUUAUUAAUCAUAGGUUUCAUUUUGUAUAGGAAUUUUAAAGCUGAAAAAUCAAAAAGAUUUUCAUCAAUUCUUUUGACAAAUUGUUAUUUUCUUUUCUUCUUAAAGUUUCAAGGAAUAGAAAAAGAGUUUAAUUGGUUAUUUUGGCAAGACUUCACGAACUACGCACACCUGAUUCUCCUCCCUCGAGAGUGAGAUACGUAGGCGCCCUUCUUGGGUUCGGUGAUCUUUUCAAAAAAAGAAGAAGGAAAAAGAAAAAGGUUUUGAGAAAGUGUUGAACUCUAACGCAUUUGCUAUCUCUUGUCCAGUUAGUUUAAGGCGGUUGGUUUGUGGCAUUUUGGCUGGUCCUCCAUAUUGCACCAAGUCACAGAGGAAGUUAUGGCUAACAAGGAUAUCGAGUUUGUUGUCACUGAUCAGAUAGGGAGUUCGGGUAACGAGAAUUUAGGAGAUAAUAAAGAGAUUCAAAAAUUAAGGCAACAAAUGAUAGAAAUGCAUCGAGCUUGGGCUAAUGGGUUGCCACAUCCUCUAUUUCCCACUGAUAAUCUGAAAUAUCUUUCUAACUUGCCUCUAGUGUCACAUACACAGUUUCCUAUUUCUGUUGACACACCACAACAUGCAUCAGGACUUGCUCCGGGGCAACACUAUCCAAACACUUACAAUAUUUAUUUCCUUACUCCUCAACACAAAGCUACCACAUGCUCGGCUCCACCCACUGUUUAUUUUUUUUGUAGCACCACCCUAACCUGAAGCUCCUACUUUUGAGUUUUAUCCGCAAGUUGUGCCUCCCCACUCUGCGAGAGAGCCUGUAUUGAAUAUUUUUAUUGAUCAACAUCAUGCUAUUGAGCCCACAUUUAAGUCGACUAAUCCUUAUGGCUAUACUCACCCGCCUGAAUUUUCUCUUAACACUGAGAAGCCUAUUAUAACAGAAGAACAAAAGGAAAUGACCAGAAAAUUGAGAAGUUUAGAACUGGCUAUGAAAGACCUCCAGGAACUUGGGGGUACAAAAGUGUCUCAUAUAAAGAUCUAUGCAUGUUUCCAGGGGUUCAUCUUCCUUUUGGUUUUAAAAUGCCAAAGUUUGAGAAGUAUGAUGGACAUGGAGAUCCUGUAGCACAUUUGAGAUGUUAUUGCGACCAAUUAAGGGGUGCUGGGGGGAAGGAAGAAUUACUCAUGGCAUAUUUUGGUAAGAGUCUUUCAGGCCUAGCUUCAGAAUGGUUUGUUGACCAAGACAUCGAUAAGUGGAUCAGCUGGGAUGACCUGGCUAAUGAAUUCGUGAAAUAAUUUCAAUAUAAUAUGGAGUUGAUUCCUGACGAGAAAUUCCUGACUAAUAUAAAGAAAAAGAGUACUAAAACUUUUAGAGAGUAUGCAAUUAGAUAGCGUGAACAAGAUGCUACGGUGAAACCACCAAUGAAAGAAAGUAAGAUAAUGGAGGCAUUUAUUCAAGCGCAGGAUGAAAUAUAUUAUCAACAAUUGUUACCUGCAUUAGGCAAGCCAUUUAUUGAGGUCCUCAAAAUGGGGGAGAUAAUAGAGAAUGGAAUUAAGACCGGUCGCAUUGUGAGUUUUGCAACAUUGAAAGUGACUACUCAAGCAAUGCAAAAAGAUUCGGAAAGUGUUGGAGGAAAGAAGAAUGAGGAAGAUGCAUCUGCCACUGCAGCUGGACAACAGGCAUGGUCAAGAGGACCACACCAUCGUUACCCACAAACUCAAACCCAAGUUUAUGCCCAAGCUCCAUAGAAUCUUUACCAAAAUCCAUUAUAUCCCAUUCCCCCACCUCUAUAUCAAGUGUAUAAUGUGCAACCUUGUGUUCAACCUCCAUCUUAUCCACACUAGCGCGCGCCAACUCUGCUGAGUCAUCCUCCAACUUUACAUACAUACCAAAGCCCUUCUAGGCCUGGUUUUUAAUUUAAUCCAAAUAAUGAAAUAAGACAAAAGUUGAGGGAUAGCUUCACACCAAUUGGAGAGUCGUAUGCAAGUUUAUUCUAGAGAUUGUUAUAAUAGGGCAUGAUCACUCCUCUCCUUGGGUAUACUCCUGACCCACAUUCAAGAAGUUUUGAUCCUGAUGUACAAUGUGCAUAUCAUUCUAAUGUUCAGGAUCACAGUUUUAAAGAUUGUCAUGCUUUGAAAAGAGAAAUUGAAAAGAUGAUUCAAGAUAAAUCAAUUAUGGUGCAAAACAUUGACGGUGAGGAAAGUUCUAGUCAUGCUAAUAUGCAAACCAGUGGCUAAGAUGUUAGGCUGAGCAAUUCAGAAGUCACCCCUCCCUACUAGGAAGUGGUCUGGUAGUUUGUUUUGUUUUAUUUUUUGUUACCCGAAUUAUUUCAAGAUUGUAGUUCGGGAUCUAUCUUUUUUUGUCCCUUUGUCAUUAUGUUAAAACCCUUCUAUCUUUUGUUUCAACUAAAUGAAGUGUCCCAUUUUCCUUUGUGUUUUAAAUAUGUGUUGUUUGUUUGUUUUCUUUACAUAGUACAUUUUAUGUUGACUCUAGUGAUAUGACAUGCUAGUGAAAUUUUCACUCAGAUCUUAAAAUCCAGUUAAAGCAUGAACAUUGAAUCAGAAGGUUAAAGUUAGAAAAAAAGAGCAUAUGAGAAAAUAGAUAGUGCUGAGACAUUUGGUGACAAGUUAAGGCAAUUAUUUGGAGAAUCACAAGAACAACUUGGUCAUCGAUCGAAAGGCAGGUCCCAAUUAGGUCAAAUAGUAGACGUGUGAUCCCUAUAUCAAGAGAAAUAAGAAGAUAAUCAGCUCCACAAAAGCAUGAAUCACUCGAUGUGAGGGAUGCAUAACAAAGGUAGAGUCGUACGCUGGACAAGUAUAGAAGAAGAAGUGACACAGAUUCAGUUUAAGUUAGUGUUAUUAAAGUGUCACACAUGAUCUUUAUCUCCUACUUUCCAAUUGCAUGUUAUGUACUUGCAUUCUCAAGGAUUGAUAUGAUGAAGGCAUUUCAUUCUGCUAUCCAAAUAUUAUGUCAUCCUUUGUUUACCCCAUUUGAUCCUUAGUGUUAUUUUCUUUCAUACCCCUCUUUUGGAAUCAAGAUAGGGUCAACAAAGUUCAAAGAAAAGUGAUGAGUAAAAAGAUAAAGUCAGAAAAGUUUCAAAAAGAGACAAAAAUAUUUCCAAAAACAAAAAAAGAAGUGUCAAGAAAAAUAGAGUUAGAAAAAAAAAAGAAUCGCAAAGUGAAAAGAGUGAAUAAGAGAAAAAAAAAAGAAAAAAAAAGAAAAUCAGAAUCAAGCAAAGGAACAAGCUGCCAAAACUACGCGUAACCUGAUUCUCCUCUUUUGGGGAUGAGAUACGUAGGCUACCCUAUUCUGGGCUCGGUCCAACCAAAUAAAUCAAUUGGAGUCACCCAGUCAAAAAAAACUGGGGCAUGAGUUAAUCCUCAUUGUUUGAGUCGAUUCCAAUAGUUGUAAGUCCUACCCCACUUCAAGUGUCGUUUGGGUCUCAUGCCAUCCUUUCUUUCUAACCCUAUCCAAAAGUUAAGUUACAACCAAAGAAAGACCUUCAGAUCAAUCUUUGAGAAUGUUAAGGCUAAGAAUGCAAGGGAAAUGAUGAUGCAUUUUGGGAACUACUUGUCUUCCUCAACAUAAGAAAUUAGAAGAGAAAUAAAAUGAGAGAGUCUUACCUCCACGGACACUAUAAGGUGAUGGUAAGUUGAGAGAGAGAUAAAAAUGAGAGAGUCUUAUCGCUGAAACCCCUCCGUGAGUUGAGAAAAAUGAAAAUAAGAAUCUCAUUGGUGAAAAAACCUCACGGACACCAUAGGAAAAUGGUGAGCUGAGAGAACAAAAAUAAGAAUCUCAUUGGUGAAAACCCCUCACGAACACCAUAGGAAAAUAGUAAGCUGAGAGAACAAAAUGAAAGAGUCUCAAUGGUGAAAAACCCUCACAGGCACCAUAAGACAAUGGUGAACUGAAAAAAAUGAGAGAGGCUUGUUGGCGAAAACCCUUCAAGGUGUCACUAGCCGAAUGAGGUCUUAAAAGUAAUUGACCUAAGGAAGCAACUCCAUUUCCAGGCUAUUAACUUAACAACAAUUGGUGAGAGUUUGGAUGGAAAGAUCAGGAAACCUAAUCCAAAAUGCAUGGCAUAAUCAUUCGAGUUGACUGUCAUUUUUAGAUAAAUUUCAUUUCUUUGUUUCAAAUGGGGACAUUCAUUAUCUUUUCUUUCUUCUUUUAUAUUUUUAUUUUAUUGGGUCAGUUGUCCAAAUAAAAAUUACUGUCAUUUUUUUUCUUGUCUUUGAGUCAAGCCAUGUCAAAACAAGUGAGAAAAGAUUUUAAAACUAGCUACCAGCUUAUUCAAUUGCACAAAGCAAGACAAAAGCUAGCAUAUAAAAGAGACAUAAUUGUGAACUGAAAAAAGGGCAUGCAGAAAUUUUUGUCAACAGACAAGUCUGGGAACUCAUGGAAAUACAAAGGUUCAAAGGAGUUUAUCUGAGGAGAAUGAUAAAGCAGAGAUAUUGUACUUGUCUCAGAGUCACUCUUAAUAAUCUGAGCCUGGGUCAAUGAUGCAGCAAGGCAAUGACAUAUGCUAAUGGUUGGAAGCAAGGUUAAAUGUGACCGGGGCAAGAGCGAUUGACUCGAAAGCCAAAGCCACAAACCAGCCACCAUGUUUUUUUAAAACUCACAAGUUUUCUUUGUAUGAAACAGGAACACAUAUUGCAUUCAGAUCAAGGAUUUCAGAGCCUAGCAUCAGAGGCCGUAAUUUCUCACUUCUACAAAUGCAAGAGGCAAUAUUGCUGCACAGGUUUGGUAAUGAAAACCAUGGUAAAACUCAUAAUUCAAGAUCUCUAGGAGGUAUACUUCCUUCUCAAGGAGACACAUUUCCUUGAAAAAUGCAAGUGGCAUUUGUAAGGAGAUGUAUUUCCUUGUCUGGAUAAUUUAACUGAUGUUUGUAAGGAGACACAUUUCCAUGGAAAAUUCGUGAAACAUUGGUAAGGAGAAGCACUUCCUUGUUUUGGUAAUUCAAGCAACAUUUGUAAGGAGACGCACUUUCUUAUUUGGUAAUUCAAGCGGUAUUUGUAAGGAGACGCAUAAUUCCAGCAACAUUUGUAACGAGACGCACUUCCUUGUUCGGGUAAUUCAAGCGGUAUUAGUAAGGAGACGCACUUCCUUGUUUGGUAAUUCAAGCAAUAUUUGUAAGGAGUGCACUUCCUUAUUUUGUAAUUCAAGCGGUAUUUGUAAGGAGUUGCACUUUUUUAUUUGGUAAUUCAAGUAACAUUUGUAAGGAGACACGCUUCCUUGUCGAAUAAUUCAAGUGGUAUUUGUAAGGAGA
rnacentral:lncRNA from 1 species